rnacentral:rRNA from 1 species
GACGUAGGGGGCAAGCGUUAAUCGGAAUUACUGGGCGUAAAGCGUGCGCAGGCGGUGAUGUAAGACAGAUGUGAAAUCCCUGGGCUCAACCCAGGAACUGCGUCCAAGACUGGGAGGCUUGAAUCCGGGAGAGGGAUGCGGAAUUCCAGGUGUAGCGGUGAAAUGCGUAGAUAUCUGGAGGAACACCGGUGGCGAAGGCGGCAUCCUGGACCGGUAUUGACACUGAGGCGCGAAAGCCAGGGGAGCAAACGGG